AAUUUUGUCUCGAAUUACGGCACCUUCUUGCCCUAAUAAACAAUUUUGUACUGCUUCCCUGGCCUGACUAAAACCAUGAAAUAUAACAUGCAAAUUUUCAAUACCAAGGCGCUUUACUUGGAUUUGUUCCAGCACCUUGGAGCAAAUGGUAUAAGCAGCAUCGUAGCCACGGCGCUUUCCUUUACGAAAACCACAGGUUCCUCCAGAGGCCCUAAAAAUAAUUUUUCUUUCAGGAGAACAAAGUGUAAUGUGAGUGUUGUUCUUCAAACAUUUGGCAUGAAGGUAAAAUGGCAUUGGAAUGGUAUCCGUACCUUGCAUAAUCGGAUUUGGCUCCUCCGUCCUUUUUGAAAAAGCUUUUGGAGUGAUUGUGGAUUCUAAAAGAGAAGAGAGUUCCUUUUUGGGCGCAUUCCGCCUAGGACUCUGGCUCCAAAAUCUUCGUAGUCCAACUUUUGUUAAAUUAAGCAUUAGAUAUUUGAUGAAAAAUAGCUUGCUAAGAAC